rnacentral:rRNA from 1 species
AUUGAACGCUGGCAGCAUGCCUUACACAUGCAAGUCGAACGGCAGCACGGGAGCUUGCUCCUGGUGGCGAGUGGCGAACGGGUGAGUAAUACAUCGGAACGUACCCUGAAGUGGGGGAUAACGUAGCGAAAGUUACGCUAAUACCGCAUAUUCUGUGAGCAGGAAAGAGGGGGAUCGCAAGACCUCUUGCUUUAGGAGCGGCCGAUGUCGGAUUAGCUAGUUGGUGAGGUAAAGGCUCACCAAGGCGACGAUCCGUAGCGGGUCUGAGAGGAUGAUCCGCACACUGGACUGAGACACGGCCCAGACUCCUACGGAGGCAGCAG